GUCUAUGGCCAUGCACCCUGAACAACCCCGAUCUCGUCUGAUCUCGGAAGUUAAGCAGGGUCGGGCCUGGUUAGUACUUGAAUGGGAGACUACGUAGGAAGACUAGGUGCUGUAGGAG
rnacentral:rRNA from 1 species